ACUGCAAUCUAAGGAUAAGUUUAGAUCUGAAGUCAGAACCAUAUUACAUUCUCUCUCUUCCGACAUCGUUACUGAGAAAUUCCAACGCACAAAACCGAAUGAGUUUGCUUUGAGAACUAAAAUGGCUGACACCGCCGGCUCCGGUCACCGGCGGGUUAUCACGCUCAUCUCUUCCCUUAUCUCCCUCUCUCUCUCCAUCAGAGUCUUCGCCGGAAAGUGGCAACUUAUUCGGAGUAGGCUGGAGGAGCUCUGUUCGGCAUUCGUUGCCGGCGACUCCACUUCACUGUCAAGCGAGAUCCCGGAGGUAACAGGCACGGUGGAGGAGUGCCACGAGCUGGCAAGGCGGUGCUUGGAUCUGUCCUACAGCGGGAAGCUCUUGAUGCAGAGCGACUUAGACGUGACUUUGGGGAAGUUGGAAGCGCACGUGAAGAAGCUAUCCGAGAUAUUCAAGAAGCGUGUGUCGAUGCAUGGCUACGCUGUUGUGGUUUCAAGGCCUGGUUUUGGAGCUUGCAAAGAUGACAUGAGGUUCUACUUAAGGGAUUUAAUGACUCGAAUGAAGGUUGGUGAUUUGGGUAUCAGGAAGCAAGCGUUGAUGAACCUGCAUGAAGUUGUUGUGGAGGAUGAUAAGUAUGUGAAAUUGGUUGUUGAGGCUUCUGAGUUUGUUCACUUGUUGGUGGAUUUUCUGGGUUGUGAUGAGGUUGAGAUUGUUGAGGAGGCUGCCAAGGUUGUUUCUGUCGUUGCGGGUUUUGAUUAUUAUAAAGGGGUUUUGGUUGGUGCUGGAGUUAUUGGUCCUUUAAUUCGGAUUUUGGAAUGUGGGAGUGAAAUGGGAAAGAUUGCUGCUGUGAGAUGUUUGUGUAGACUGACUGAGAAUUCGGAUAAUGCUUGGAGUGUUUCAGCUCAUGGAGGUGUAACAGUCUUGUUGAGGAUUUGUGAGAGCGGAGAGUGUAAAGGAGAAUUGAUUGGUCCUGCUUGUGGGGUGUUGCGGAAUCUUUGUGGGGUUGAGGAAAUCAAGAGGUUUAUGGUUGAGGAGGGUGUGGUUUCCACGUUUGUGAAGCUUGUGAGGUCUAAGGAUGAAGUAGUUCAAGUUAGUUCUAUCGAGUUGAUUCAAAACAUUGCCUCUGGUGAUGAGUUGGUUAGGCAGAUGGUGGUUAGAGAAGGAGGGGUUCGUGUUCUUCUGCGUGUUUUGGAUCCAUUGUGGACGUGCUCGUCUAAAUCAAGAGAGGUUGUGAUGAGGGCUAUUGAGAAUUUGUGUUUUUCUUCGUCCAGUUGUGUUAAUCUUUUGCUGAGUUAUGGCUUUGUGGAUCAGUUGAUGUAUUAUGUUCGAAAUGGGGAGGUAUCAAUUCAGGAGUUGGGGUUGAAGGUAGCGUUUAGAUUGUGUGAAGCAUCGGAGGAGGCCAAGAAGGCAUUAGGUGAUGCCGGCUUCAUGGCCGAGCUUGUGAAGUUUCUAAAUGCGGAAUCGUUUGAAGUUCGUGAAAUGGCAGCAGAGGCACUCUCUAGCAUGGUUACGGUGGCUAAAAAUAGGAAGAGGUUUGUGCAGGAUGACCAAAACAUUACCCUUCUUCUGCAAUUGCUGGAUCCAGGGGAGGGAAAUUCUGGUAAUAAAAAGUUGUUGAUCUCUAUCUUGAUGUCACUAACAAGCUGCAACAGUGGCAGGAAGAAAAUUGUGAGUUCCGGGUAUGCCAAAAACAUAGAGAGGCUUGCAGAAGCUGAGGUUUCUUCCGAUGCCAAGAGGCUCGUCAGGAAGCUAUCCACAAACCGGUUCCGCAGUAUGUUGAGUGGAAUCUGGCACUCUUGAAUUUUCCUUAUGGUAAUUGAGAAAGUACAACACGCCAAUUCUUUGCAUGCUCGUUGCCUGGAGCGGAGGAAACAGCAAGCUUCUUGCCUGUGUCGUGAUUGCUGAAAAGAGUGUUGGGUGGCAUUUAUUAUAUACCAUGUAUAUGCAACAAAUGCAAGAGGAGUAAUUAAUGGAGAACAUGUGAAAAUGUGAAUCAAGAAAUGUAGUAUAGUAUUGGGUUGAGGAAGGCACAGAAAACCCAUGUUUCUUCCAAUUUCCAAGAUCUCAUCUCCAAUGAAUGAUUUCAUUGAUUGUGUUUGUUGAAUGUCUGAAACUUUCUUUCGAUGUUGUGCUGUAAUAUAUCUAAAAGAAUCUGAUGGUAAACAAAGC